UUUGGCCUACGGGAGGCAGCAGUCGGGAAUAUUGCGCAAUGGAGGAAACUCUGACGCAGUGACGCCGUGUAUAGGAAGAAGGUUUUCGGAUUGUAAACUAUUGUCGUUAGGGAAGAGAAAGGACAGUACCUAAGGAGGAAGCUCCGGCUAACUACGUGCCAGCAGCCGCGGUAAUACGUAGGGAGCGAGCGUUAUCCGGAAUUAUUGGGUGUAAAGGGUGCGUAGACGGGAAAGCAAGUUAGUUGUGAAAUCCCUCGGCUUAACUGAGGAACUGCAACUAAAACUACUUUUCUUGAGUGCAGGAG
rnacentral:rRNA from 1 species